rnacentral:rRNA from 1 species
GAUGAACGCUGGCGGCGUGCCUAACACAUGCAAGUCGAACGGUGAAGCAGGAGCUUGCUCUUGUGGAUCAGUGGCGAACGGGUCAGUAACACGUGAGCAACCUGCCCCUGACUCUGGGAUAAGCGCUGGAAACGGCGUCUAAUACUGGAUAUGUGAUGUGACCGCAUGGUCUGCAUCUGGAAAGAAUUUCGGUUGGGGAUGGGCUCGCGGCCUAUCAGCUUGUUGGUGAGGUAAUGGCUCACCAAGGCGUCGACGGGUAGCCGGCCUGAGAGGGUGACCGGCCACACUGGGACUGAGACACGGCCCAGACUCCUACGGGAGGCAGCAGUGGGGAAUAUCGCACAAUGGGCGGAAGCCUGAUGCAGCAACGCCGCGUGAGGGAUGACGGCCUUCGGGUUGUAAACCUCUUUUAGCAGGGAAGAAGCGAAAGUGACGGUACCUGCAGAAAAAGCACCGGCUAACUACGUGCCAGCAGCCGCGGUAA